rnacentral:rRNA from 1 species
AUGAAGGGGCUCGCCGACGAGCUCACUGCUGCAGGAAAACCGCUUGAUGAAGACGACAUCGUUUCGCACAUCAUGGAGGGUCUCAUGCAUGAGCCCGACUACAGCGGCUUCGUCACCGCCAUCUCCACGCGCGCCAUCACCGAUCAACCGAUUGGCCUCAGCGAGCUCUUCUCACUACUGCUCGCCGCUGAGUCUCGAAUCGCCGCCCAGCAUGCCGCCUACAUGGCCCAUCACUCUGUUAACCUCGCCGCCAAGGGUGGUCGAGGUGGCUACGGCGGCGGACGCGGCGGUCAGGGUGGUGGACGCGGUGGCUACAACGGGGGCAACUACAACGACAACUCGGGCGGCGGUACGCCGCACCAGCAAGGUGGUGACCGCGGUGAGCGCGGUGACCGCGAGCGCUGCCAAAUCUGCAAGGAGGACGGCCACGCUGCGUGGCGCUACAAGAAACGCUACGACAAAGGCUACAACAACAACGUACGCAACCCCGCAGGUGGCGGCGGACGCGGCGGCAGUGGGCGCGGUGGCGGCGGCAGCAGCGGCAAUUCUCGCUCCGCCAACUCUGCCCACUCCUAUGGUGUAGAUACUAAUUGGUAUCUUGACACCGGCGCCACUGAUCACGUCACCGGGGAGUUGAAAAAACUAGCUGUUCGAGAUCGCUACAUCGGCACCGACCAAAUCCACACAGCAAGUGGGCAAGGCUACCCGGAGAACUAUCCUUCAAAACAAGAGUAG